UACGGAGGGCGCGAGCGUUGUCCGGAUUUAUUGGGCGUAAAGAGCUCGUAGGUGGUUUGUCGCGUUGUCCGUGAAAACUCACAGCUCAACUGUGGGCGUGCGGGCGAUACGGGCAGACUGGAGUACUGCAGGGGAGACUGGAAUUCCUGGUGUAGCGGUGGAAUGCGCAGAUAUCAGGAGGAACACCGGUGGCGAAGGCGGGUCUCUGGGCAGUAACUGACGCUGAGGAGCGAAAGCGUGGGGAGCGAACAGG
rnacentral:rRNA from 1 species